CAGACGUUGAACUUGCCUCCUCCCACGAGCACAAGCAGGUUACAACAAUUUUGGGAAGAAUCACCCUGGAUUGAAAACUGAAAACUGGAUAAAAAGAACCCCCACAAUAAGGGACAGUCCUGACGAAAGCAGAAGACGCAGUAACUCCAACAGGAGAGGAACAAAGCCACCUUUGGGAGGAGCAGAGCUUCUCAGCUGGCCAGGCAGGAGCCACCCUAAGAGAGCCAGUUAUAAAAUGUUCACCAGCACACCACUGUCUACAUUGUAGCAAGAUCCCCAGUUGUAUAUUUUAGCUGUGGGUCCUUCUAGUUGUGGUACGUGGGACGCCGCCUCAACGUGGGCUGAUGAGCAGUGCCAUGUCUGCACCCAGGAUCCGAAUCAGCAAAACCCUGGGCCACCGCAGUGGAGAGCGCGAACUUAACCACUUGGCCACGGGGCCAGACCCUAAAAUCACUUCUUACUUUUGAUAAAUAUGAGUCCUGACAAUUUAAAAGGCAUUAUGUGAGAAAACAUCAUUCUGCAACUGAAAGAGCGUAACUGUUGUCUUGACUGUGGUGACAUUCUCAUCAAUGAGUGAGCUUCCAUGCUAUGAGCUAUUCCAAGAAGUGGUCCAUGUGGCAAGGAACUGAUAUCUCUGGGCAACAGCCACAUGAGAGAAACUGGAAGUGGAUCUUCCCUGAAGCGAGCUUCCAGAUGACCACAGCCUUGCCUGAAACUCUGACUGCGGCCUUCUGAGAGACUUUGAGCUGAAGACUCAGCUAAGUUUUACCAGGAUUCCUGAUCCACAGAAACUGAGAUAAUAAAUGUUUGCUCUGUUAAUCAGCUGGGUUUGGGGGGUGAUUUGUUACUCAACAAAAUCUAAAAAAUGUUGAUUUAUAAUCAUAGAUGUUCAGAUAAGAGAAAGAUAAAAAUGUUGAAGAUUCUGUACAAAAAAAAAUCUCUAGAUAAUUGCAUUUUUGAUGUUUUCGACUUUUCAUUUAUCAUUUUGCUGAUUGUUUCAAUAAAUAUAUAUUACUUGUGAAAUUAAGGUAUACAUACACACAACUAUACUUUAAC
rnacentral:lncRNA from 1 species